rnacentral:rRNA from 1 species
UACGUAGGGGGCGAGCGUUGUCCGGAUUCAUUGGGCGUAAAGAGCUCGUAGGCGGCUUGAUAAGUCGGGUGUGAAACCUCCAGGCUCAACCUGGAGUCGCCACUCGAUACUGUCAUGGCUAGAGUCCGGUAGGGGACCACGGAAUUCCUGGUGUAGCGGUGAAAUGCGCAGAUAUCAGGAAGAACACCAAUGGCGAAGGCAGCUCUCUGGGACGGUACUGACGCUGAGACGCGAAAGCGUGGGGAGCGAACAGG